UCGGCUUAGAGUUUGAUCAUGGCUCAGAUUGAACGCUGGCGGCAGGCUUAACACAUGCAAGUCGAACGGUAGAAGAGCUUGCUCUUGACGAGUGGCGGACGGGUGAGUAAUGUAUGGGGAUCUGCCAAAUGGAAGGGGACAACAGUUGGAAACGACUGCUAAUACCGUAUAAUGUCGCGAGACCAAAGUGUUUCGACAUGCCAUUUGAUGAACCCAUAUGGGAUUAGCUAGUAGGUAGGGUAAAGGCCUACCUAGGCGACGAUCUCUAGCUGGUCUGAGAGGAUGACCAGCCACACUGGAACUGAGACACGGUCCAGACUCCUACGGGAGGCAGCAGUGGGGAAUAUUGCACAAUGGGGGAAACCCUGAUGCAGCCAUGCCGCGUGUAUGAAGAAGGCCUUAGGGUUGUAAAGUACUUUCGG
rnacentral:rRNA from 1 species